GGGUGAUUAGCUCAGCUGGGAGAGCUCCUCCCUUACAAGGAGGGGGUCGGCGGUUCGAUCCCGUCAUCACCCACCA
rnacentral:tRNA from 13 species